AGAAUCAAUUUCCUGUACCCUGAUUUACCACAGGUAGAUGAUGACGGCUACACCUGGCAGUUAUUUGGUUUGUGAGACCUGAUGAGGUCACGGACCAAGGAUACACGGGCCUGAGCAAGUCAAGGCUUUAUUGUGGAGUGAUUGAGCUGGUCAAUCAAAAUGAAUAUUUAAUGUGAGCUGGGCAGGUCUUGCGCAUGGUGCAUAGUCCAUGAUAUAUUUUUCUGAAUAAUCAAGUGAUUUAAAUUCCUGUAAGACUUUUUUGACAAUGGUGACCGUAGCCAUGCUUUUAAAAAGAUUUUGUUUUCCAAAACGAUUCUUAUUUGGCAUCAGAAAUUUUUUAGCAUUCUAGCCCUUGGAUUUUUUAUGCGUCACCUUUAUUUAUUCCUCCCUUAGAUCUCGGUUUUACCCACACUUCUCACUUUGAAGAAGCAAAAUUGCAAGUAAUACCAAAUUCCUUACCUAUUAUUAUGAAUAAUCCUUAAGACUGAACAGUUAUUUUUUUAUAUCAUGUCUUUUACAUAAUAAUAAUGUACGGGCUAAUAUUAUCUUUUGAAACAGAAACUAUAAAUGUGAAAUGAAUAUAAAACAAUAGGACUUAAGAACAACAGCUUUGGAAGAGGUUUUUUAGCAACAAUAAAAUAUUUCAAAUCAGAAUGAUGUCAAUUUAUUAAUAUCCAAUGAGAAAGCAGCAGAUAUUUGCUUCUGUGACCCUGAAACCACAGGGGUGGGCAGAUCCCUAGUAGGCUGGUAGGUAAGGAUGCUGCCCUGGUGCUGAGCCUGUGCAUCCUUACACUAUUCCUUGGCCUUUCCUUCCUCUUCUCUGUAUCACAAGGGAGCUGACUCCUGCAAACUGUGCUCCUCAGAUUAGAGGACAGCAGGGGACGAAAAGCUGGGGUAUGGUUCCCUGUCUAUCUCUGCUGUAGGUGGCUUCUUUAGUGGUGACUGAGUCUCUGCCUGGUUCCACCUUCCAUCAAGUGCCCUGCGCCCCCAGGCUCCAGUAACACCCCCUCUUCCCUUCGUCCCUCCAUCCCAGUGGUGUUUGUAGCUUCCUGCUGUUGCUACUCCCUGAAUUUGCCUCACCAAUUCCUUCUUGACGUCUCAGCAAUUCCGUCCCUUGUGUAACCAAUUCUCUGCAUUAAAUUCCUUGUGUCUCAAAUACCUUGUAGUGUCUUCUGUUUACCUUGUUGGACCUUGAAUGAUGUAGUAGGCAGGGAAUGAGACAAAGGGCCAUUGAUUGUAUGAUUCAAAUAUUUAAUGCCAUUUGGCUUUCUCUAGCAAAAGCAGGGAGCUUGGGAAAUUCUGUAGUAUAUUCAGAUUCAUUCUGUUUAACUCAAGGGUAACUAGAAAACAUUAACAUUUUUAAAAAUAUUUCUGAAAUGUCUCUUUCUUUUCUCCUGCAUUAGUAAGCAAGACUGAAUUUUGUUUACUCUUGUUGAUGCUUUAGAUUCUUGUAGUGUUUCUUAAGGUACCUAGGACCUGGAUAUUAAAAUAAGAUCUGUAGAUGUUUGGACUAAAUAGGAUUCAUCUUUAGGAUGCAGCUCUCAGGUAGUUUUUAGAAACCUUCCUUUUAUCAGCCUUGUGUGUAUGGGUGUGUGUGUUUGUGUAUGUCUGUCUGUCAUCUUAUGAAAAUAUAUCUUAAAAGGUUAAUGCAUAUCUAGUUUUUUGAUAUUUACAAAUAUUCCGUCAAGUACACUGAGUGUUUUAUCUUAAAUAGAGCAGCAAUACCAGGUCAGUAAGGUUUUUUGGGAGCAAAAUCUAUUUUUGGAUAGCCAAAAUCUAGGUCAUUUAAAAAUGCAGGCUUUAGAAAAUUCAUUCAGCUUUUCAUUGUUUCUUAAAUAUUUAAUGAUCACCUGCUAUGAGCUAGGCAUCGGAGCCACAGUGGUAAAUAAGACAGUGGGUGUUUAUCUCAGUAAACUUAAAAUGUGGUGGGGAAGGCAGACACCUGUAGGCAAUCAUAAUAAUGUACAAGAAAUUAUGAGGAUAUGUAGCAAGGGGACUUAACCUGAUCCAGAAGUUUGGGAUGGUGCUCAGAAGUGAUCAGAAGAAAUGAUGGGCAGAAGAAAGAUAACGAAGACCAAAAUUGGCCCAGGCUAUCAGAUAAGAUCUAUUCACUCAUUCAUCCAAUCAUUUCUACAAACAUUUGUAACGAUCUUGGGAAGAUGAAAAAAAUGAAUAAGCCUAGUUUGCCAGUAGGACUAAGAGUGUUAAUAAAAAUGCAAAAGGAUGAUCUGAUGAAGCAGGCACACCAAGAGUUGGAUAAUGAGUUGGGGUUUAUGCCACAUCAACCCAUAAGGACUAACGACUUCUCCUCUGUGCUCCUGAAGCAGUUUAUACCUGUAUUGUAGCAUUUAGUAUUGUUUGGUCUGAGAAAUUUCAUUGAAAAUAUGCUAUAUACACACAGUGAAAUAUUACUCAGUCUUAAAACAGAAGGAAAUCCUGCCAUAUGUGACAACAUUUAUGAACCUGGAGGCUAUUAUGCUAAGUGAAAUAAGCCAGUCACAGGACAAAUACUCCAUGAUUCUGCUUAUUUGAGGAAAACAGUCAAAAUCAUAGAAGCAGAAAGUAUAAUAGUGGUUGCCAGGAUCUGGGGAAGGAGGAGACGGGAAGUUGCAGUUCAAUGGGGAUAAAAUUUCAGUUAGGAAAGGUGAAUAAGUUCUAGAGAUUUGCUGAACAGCAUGUGUCUAUAGUGAGCAAUACUGCAUUGUGCACUUAAGAGUUUGUUAGGAGAGCAGACCUCAUGUUAUAUGUUACCACAACUUAAAAAAAAGAAAAUUUCACUGAGACUAUUUUUAUUUUACUGAUGAAAAAAGAAGGAUCGACAGGAUUACAGUGUGGUUAGGAGUCAGUCUGUGAUCUCAGGCAUGUUCCCGAACAUUCUAGGGUUGCUAUGACGAUUGAAACAGAAAAUAUUUAAAUUACUUAGCCCAGUGCUUGGCACAGACUACUUAAUUAAUAUUAGCUCUUAUUAGCUAUUAGACCUGUGAAUCCUGUCCAGUAUCUAAAGGCUCUGUCAGUACAUUUCAUUUGAUCCCAAAGACAACUGUCGGAAGGGGAAUGUGGGCAUGAUCAUUUCCAUUUUAGAGAAAAGAAACAGAAUCUAGAGCUAUUAGAGAUUUUUCCUAAAUAAUACAUCAGAGAUUGAGCUGUGAUGAAGCCAAGAAUCCAAUGUCUUAUGAUACUGCUGACUUGUGGAUCACUCACUGUGAGGAAAUUCAUGGAUUCUAUGGAAAAAUAAAUCCCAAAAGAUUUGAGAAUGAGAAACAGGGUGGUGACUCCUUUCUAAAAUCCCCCUUGAGUCUUUUCAUUUCAGUUCUUACCUCUUGAUGCAGCUUGACCUCAGAUGGCCCAUAAUCAUGGGAUAUCGUAUUGAUGAAAUAAGAAGGAAGAAUGAUAUGAGGAAGCCAAAAGUUCCUUCUUCCCCUCAGCUUGGGGGAUGGAAACCCUGAACAAAGAAGAAUGAAGAACAAAGACGAGAUUAUAGUAAGAGUACCCAAAUGUUUAGGAGCAUUUUUUCUGGGAUUCUUUUUUAAGAACGCCCCCACCCUCCUCUGUGUUUGAUAUCACUCCGGGUCCUGGGUUUCCGGCUUGGUUUAAAUGGACUGUCUGCCUGGGAAUCUUAGACACCCCAGCCCUCCCCGUGCAUUCCUCAAACACCUCCCCCCAUCUGCCUCAUUGUUUUUAUCCAUUUCUGCUUGAUUUAUUUUUGCCACCUGGCUCCUGUCUCUGGCGUCACUUGUCACUUGUCUUUAUCUUCUCAUGCCUGAGCACAUUUUACUAGUAUGAUGUAGUGGAAAGACCAUGAGCUUUGGGAUUUAAAAUCUCAGCAACCAAUUAUUGGCUGUGUGACUUGGGAUAUGUCAACUUUUUGGGUCUCAGUUUCAUUUUCGUUAAUUACAAAAAGAGAACAUUAAUACAUUCCUAUUAGGGUAGAAGUGAAGAAUUAAUGAGUUAACUGUAUAAAAAGUGCUUAUCCUGGUGGCUGGCACCUAGUACUCACUCAACGCCUAUGUGCCUCCUUUCUCCUCACUUCUGCUCCCAAGGACAUCUCUGCUUUAUCCUGCACUGGCCAAUCCCAGUGACUUUCCAAGCAUUGGAGACCCCCUCCCUGCCCUCUCCCUGACAAGUAUGGGCUUGUGAAUCAUGACAUUAUGACCAAGAUGACCAGUGAUGCAGCCUCCUAUCUGCAUCCUUCAAAUUCUUCUCCCCUUCCACCCUUCCUUCCAACACCUGUCUUCCUGUUAUUACUUAGCUACAUGUUAACAGUUACCAGUUAUCCAUCUGUCCUGUUUACUGUUAUCACUCUUGGCAGAACACUAAAGAAGGAAAGGAAAGCAUCAAUAAAGAUAUAAUCUGAGGUUGCUUGAGACUCACUAAAAUAAUUUAAAUCUCCAAAAAUGGUAUCGUCUUAAAUUUAACAUCAACAACAACACCAUUUUAGCUUUAAAGCUUGUAUCUUUUCUUUUCCUGUUUAUAGAAUUCCUAUUAAUGAUGCUUUUCUCUCUGGUUUCCCCAAACAGGAAAUCAGUGGUCUUCAAUUUCUUCUAAUUCUUUGAAGUCCUUUGCCAAAACUUUCUAUUUUCUCCUCUAUUGCCUUACUUUCACCAUUUUUGUCAUAAUCUGUAAUUUAAACUCUGAUUCUAUCAUAAAUAAGUAAUUUGGACUUUUUCCUAUUUAAUGGCUCAGGGAUUAUCAUCAAAGAAUGGCAUGGCCAAUUUUCCUCCCAGCACCAUUCACGUUCCUAUGGUUCUUUUUCUUUUCUCAAGGAGUUUAACUUCCAUGACUCUCAGCUUUGAAGAUUCUAAAGGCAUAGAAGCUCAGGGAGUUGGAAACAAGCUUAACAUCCUUAAAUAAUGGACACGACGCCCUUGCUACCUGGUCACCUGGUCCUGGUUGAAUAAUGCCAGUUAUGAUGUGACAAUUGAAUCUCAAGGCAUCAACCUACUCCAUAUUUAGAGAGCCUGUAUUGUUAGAAAGCUAAGCCAAACUGUAUUUCCCAUUUACUUUUUCUUCAAUCUUAAUUUUGCCCCUUGGAGUCAUGUGGAACAAACUUGGUUUCCACUUGUAGACCACUUGUACAUUUGAAGGCAGCUAUGUUGCUCCCCCAUACACACUCUUCCCACCCCCAACAUUUCCUUUAUCAGGAAAAAUAUUUCCAUUUACUCCAGUCAUCUGUAAAACAAGUGUUUGUUAACACACAGCUUUAUCACAUUUAUCAAAGUUAGGAACUUAUCUUUCUUAAUGGUAAUGCCACAGAAACGAUGGUCUACAAAAUAAUCUCCAGUAGAUGUCACGUUAGAAACAAAGAACGACAGAAAGAAACGUGUUUCAAUAAAUGCUCUGUAGCAGAAUGUUGAUGUGAAACGAUGUCUUUGCACAUCCAUUGACGUUGAUUUAAACACGUAAUGUUCACAUGUGGGAAUAGCCUACCAUACAUAUAGGGGCAUGGAGAUGAGUGGUAGGAUUUUGGAAAUUACUGAUGUGUCUUUACCUUUUAGAGUCCAUGCUUUUGCCUCAGGAAACCUGAGACAGCUGUCUGCCUCAUGGGGAAAGAGAAUUUAUCAUAAAAAAUGAUGAAGGGAAAAACAGAACUACACCUAACUUCUGACGUGAAAAACAGGGUUAAACCAAAAUGAAAGCAUUAUAAACCAGGCUAUGAUCCUGAGAGAUAUUUUUCCAUAUCCCUUUAUUUUUCUUCUCUAACACAUCAGGUACUAAACCUGGAGGAUCCCAAAGCAGAGAAGGUACCCUUCCCUCCAUGACAGCAAAGCCAUGCACCUGAUGGAGAUGUGGGAAAAUGUUGGAAAAGGAAAAACAAAGCCCACCUCUUCCUGACCCUGGAGGAGGAUAAUGGGAAGGGGCCAGAGAGGAAGAGAAGGAAGGAGCACAGUAGAAGGAUGUGUGCCUUCCCUCUCUGGACCGUGGGGCUGGAUCCAGGAUGCAGGUAGUGAGGGAGGUAAAGAAGAAGGCUGUAGGCCCCAACUCCCUUCUGGGCUCGAUGAAGAGAGAUCUUCUCCACCUUUUCCUACACCAAACACGCCUUCAUUUCUUUGUCUGUGCAGUGUUGUCAGGGAGCUGGAAGCCCCGAGGGUUAGCUUUCCUGAGGCACUCUCAAUUCUCAAGGGGAUUGGGUACUGAGUCAGCCUUGGGGUCUGCCAAGGCAUAGGGAAGUCUUAACAGCAGAGGCUAGCAAGAAACCUCAAGGAUUUUGGAGUCAGUAGGUGCCGAAAUGAGACUGAAUUGGUGAGAGAGUGAACUGGGCUGUGACCAGAUUGGGAGAAUGAGCCAGUUACAGACUCGAAUCGUGAAUGCCAAGACAGGCAGCAGCCAGAUUGGUAAGACAACAUUAUCAAGGAGACCAGAACAUCAUGCUCAAGGUCACUGUCUCCUCAUUUCAUGCUCUUCUCUUUCUCUCCCCACCCAUACUCCCAACUACCUUCUUUCAGAGCUGAGUCGGGGAAGGCAGAGGAAACCUGAGACUGGGCUUCCCUCCCCACUCCUAGGGAGAAUAUUGCCUGAAGGGGCUAUGUAAGUUACCAAAUCAGACUAGGUUUAAACUGGGUGAGAAAGUCAUUUAAAAAUCCUCCCACUAAACAGAGAGUGGGGGCUCAUGUGGAAAACCAUAAACAACAAGAGAACAUUUUCUCUGCAUAUCCAAGUUGUGUGAGUAAAAAUUUUUGACCCGCAAUUUUCAUUGACUAUCCCCCAAAGACCUCUAAUCGUAUUUGAAAGGGGGACAGAAAUUGUCACCAGCGAUUCGUCACCUGAAGUCUACUGAUGCAUGAAGUUAAUCCCAACUUUCCAUUCAUAUAGGGGUUUAUUUGCACACAGUGUGCUACAUUAAUUUUUCAGCACAGUUUUUAUGUAUUUUUAUUAAAGUAUACUUUUCUUUUGACAUUUUAAAAGCCCUGUUGGUACUGCAGUAACCAAUGCGUGCAUUCGCCAGUUUGAUUCACGCCUGCUUCUCGGCUGACUGUGUUUGUCUUCAGGGGGAGCAGAGCAGAAAGUCCUGUUUACCCUUUGCUGUUCAUUCAAUAUUAAUCCAUGUUUUUACAUAUUCCCAGAGUGUAUUAUUCUUUAUGCUUAUAUGCCACAGAGCUAGAGGACCUGAUAAAUUCAGUAAUUUCGCUGAAAAUAAUUUUUAAUAUUUUACUCCUGAGAGCAGAGUUAAGGCAACCAAAUUCCCUUGAGGAUACUGAUGGCAGGUGCUCAUUAUGUUUGGAAAGACUCAGCCUUGUUGAUAUUUAAAAAUUUUUUCAGAGAUUUUAUUUUACCAUUGGAGUUACAAGAAGUUUUAUUAUUCAUGACUAUGUUAUGUAUUUAUUUGGAAAGCAAAGGGAUUCUGUCAUGAGAUCAAAAAGUUCCUGAAAAUUUUUUUAAUUAGAAAUAAACUCCAAAUACUUACUGAGCCUCUACUCCAUACUAGUCACUUUGCUUGUUUAUUCUUUUAGUUUUCUUAAGCAACAGUCCUGUCCUGAAGAAGUCUCAGUUAAGGGAAGCCUGGGUGAAUGAAUGGGUUAAUGCGUGGUCUCAUUUUACUAAGGGGCUCGUGGAGACUUUGCCUAAUCCUAGAGGAACGUCUCUAAGGCAGAGUAUUCAGGAACUGAAGAAGGUCUGGGAAGAAACAUUUUGGGAGAGAAGGUCUUUCAGUGCCACUUAAACCAUGGGGGACAGCCUGUGCCACUUUGGAGCAGAGCCAAAGUGAUGAUGAAGGAACAAUGGAACCACAAGGAUGGGCACGCUGGGAUCAGGUGGGUCCAGAUUCAGUCACCUUCUAGUGCCUGUGUGCUCUUGAAUAAAUUACAUAACCUCUCAGAGCCUCAGUUUCACUCAUCUGUAAAUUGGGAAUAACAAUGGGACUUGAUUUGCCUAUCUUGCAGAUAUUGUUGUAAAGAUGAAUGAAGUUAUGUAUGAGAAAGCCUUUUGUACACUCUAAAGCAUGAUAAAUGUUUGUUGUUGUAACGUUUUUUCUUGGCACAAGUGAGCAAGGGCAGAGAGGGGAGAGGAUAGGAAGUGGCUGGAGAGGAAGAGUUGUGUUGGUAGGGAUCCUAGUUUGAGGAGAAUGGAACUUACUCUUUCUAGACCCUGCUCCCACGAGCUAAGUAUCUCAUGGAACUUUCAUAACCAUCCCCUCACCAGAUGACUUUGUGUCUAGGACACCACCCUCCUUCUUUCUCUCUGAUGUACUCUGUUCUGGUAUGUAGCAAAGCAUACAUUUAGCACUUAGUCCAUAUGGAAUAAGUUAGAUGGGAACUGGGCAAAUUCUCAGGACAUGGAGGCUGUUAGUCCUACCAGUGAUCUUCUGAAGUACUGGCUCUUACUAGAGGGAAGUCCCACUAGAAAGCCAGUAAGAAGGUUGGUUAUUUGUUCAUUCACACACAUUGAGUAGCGCCUGGAAGCAUGAAUAUGAUGAUCAACUUGUCCUGCACAGCUCCUGGUUGCUUGAAUAUGCCUUUCUGAGUAGCCCUUUGUCUUAGUGAUUCCUCCGUCCUUAGUCUCUCAAGUAUAUUCAUUUCCGUUACCUCUCUUUCCCUUGCUUUCUCCCAAUUCCCUUCCCAGCCUGAGAAAACAUUGUGGGAACUCAAAGGCAAGUUUCACUCUCUCUAAUCUUUGCUUUUUUUCAAAAGUUUGGCUGAAGUCUCAUGUUCUCUUCAUUUUCGUUUUAGAAGUUAAAGUCAAGGAGACUCAUUCAGACUUUUUGCUUUGACAUACUCCUCUUCCCAGACAAUCGUUGCAGUGGACUGAGUGUUUAUGUCCCCCGAAAUGCAUGUGUUGAAAUCCUAAGCCCCACUGUGAUGAUAUUGGGAGGAGGGGCUUUUGGGAAGAGAUUAGGUCAUAGGGUGGAGCUCCCGUGAAUGCGAUUAUCGCCUUUAUAAAAGAGAGGCCAGAGAGCUCCCUCACCCCUUCUAUCGUGAAAGAUUACAGUGAGAAGACAGCUGUCUGUGAACCAGGAAGUAGGCUCUCCCCAGACACCGAAUCUGCUGGUGCCUUGCCUUGGAGUUCCCAGCCUUCAGAGCUGUGAAAAACAGAUUUCUGUUGUUUUAUAAUAAUGGAGGUGUCGCUGGUUGCGUGUUUCAUCCUCAAGCAAAGACUCAGGAAUCCAGGCUCCUCCCAUCUUGUGACUCUACCAGCCAAUGCAUGGCUCCCAAUGUCACCUGGAGAGUUGCUCCAUUUGAGACAUCUGGAAAGAGAAAAGAGCAUGGAAGAUCCUUAAAGAUGCAACAGAAAGAAAAGAAAGCAGAAAAGAAGAAAGGAAAAAAAAUUUCUCCUUGUGAUCAGAACUUGUAGGAAGUAAAUUAACAUCAUUUGGAGGCCUGCUGUGUGUCAGAUGUCAUUCUAAUCUUUUCAAAGGUAUUAACUCAUUUAAUCAGCAUAAUAAAUCGGCAACAUGCUUUGUAGAUAAGGGCAUAGGCCAGAAGGAGAUGAAUCUCCCCAAGGUUAUGCACUUGGUGAGUUACAGAGACCUACGACUUCACCCCGGGCAGGCUGAGUGGAGUCCAAGCUUUAGCCAUUACUCUAUGCUGCCUUCUCGGAGUUCACAUUGUGUGAAGCCUGUUAGACAAUUAAAGAUACACACAUAAAGCAUUAUUAUAUAUUGCUCACAGUUAAAAUAGUUGUUUCUAGAUGUAUGGAACAUGGAAAUAUAUAUACCAAAUUUUUGAUUGUGGUUGAUUAUGAAUCUAAGUGAUAUGUAGCAUCACAGAAUAAGUGUUGCUUUGAAUAUAUUUGUUGUUUUGUUCUAUAAAAAAAGAAUUUGAACCCAUGUAACAGAACAAUUAUCAGUUGUACAUGGUGCUUAAUUUUUCAGUAUAUUCGUUGCAGUUUUCAAAUUUCUUAAGGGAAAAAAUUAUAAUUAGUUUUGUUUGGUUCAGUAGGUUGCAGAAGAAAUGUAAAAUGUAUAGGGUAUGGUCUUGAUUUUGUAGAAAACACAGAUGAGGUACAAAGAACACACAGUGAUAUGUUAGUGGUGGUUAUUUUUAGGUUGUGGGAUUACAGGAAGGUAUUUUUUUCCCUUUAUGAUUUGAAUAAUAAUAAUCACAAAAUUAACUAAAAUUAGAAAAAAUAGAGAUUAAGUUAUGUUCCCAGAAAAUACACAGCUAGUAAAUCCAGGGACUGUGACUUCAAAGUGUAUAAUCUUAAACGCUGCCUUUUACCAUCUCCUUAAGGAAAGCCUUCUGAAUCUUUUCUAUCUUCUUCCUUCCCACCACCUUUUUCCUCGUUCAGACUUUAAUAAUGUCUCUUCUGAAGAGUCACAAUAGCCAUGUAAGUAGCUGCCCCAUUUCUGUCUCGUUCUUUCGAAUCCACCCUGAACACUGGUGCUGAGAGGUCUUUCUGAAGAGCCAGUCUCUUCAUGUCACUCCACUUCCAAUAAUCAAGAUAAAGUUCAAGCUCAUCAGAAAGCACAUGAGCACCUUCCUGGUCUUACUUUUACUUUAAUCCCUUGCCUCCUAUCUCUUUCAUCAUCUGCACCGUAGCUCCUUUCUCCAGCCAGAGCAAUUUUCCUGGAGCACAAAGGAUAUGAGCAAGCUGCUGCCUUCCCCAUAAUAUGCUUGUCUGGUUCCCUGGUCCCCACCCCCUGCGCUUUCAGCCUGGCUAACUCCUGUUCAUCUUUUAUAGAUUAGCUCUCUCAUUGAAAGCAUUUAUUGGGCUAUGUAUCCUUAGCUAAGAUAGUGGCAAAUCUUCUGCUCUGCCAUGGCCUGUAUCCACACCCCUAUAUUUAUCCCUCUGGGAUUAAUCACUGAUUUUCCUGUCUGUCUCUUUGACUGGACUCCAGGCAGCUUUAAGGCAGGAAUCCUGUCCUAGUACUUGACUGCCUGAUGCUGAUGCAAUGCUUAGCAUUUUUUUGAAUGAAUGAAUAUAUUUUGGCAGCUUGCUAUUGCCCAGAUUGGAUUUAGAAGAGGACCACCCCUGAACCCUUGGUCCAGGAACACUGGGUGGACUUGCCGGGGAGAUCUACCUGUAUCGAAGAGGCCACCUUUGCAUGAUGCAGCCUCUGACUUCUUUUGCUUCAGGUCCUUGUAGCUUCUGCAGUACACGAGAGGAGCGACCUACAUUCAGAAUCACUUUGUAAGUCAAGAAUUAAGCUCAAACGUGUAAUAGGAGGAGAACUUGUUUCAGUAUGCGGAAACAUCAGUUUUUGGAAAUCCAACAUAACAAAAAUGAAGCAUUGAAGAGACAAGAACUGCUGACCACAACAGCUCAGAAGGUAGGACAGUUGAGACAAAGUUUCUUGGAGGAAAAGGGCAUUCAGUGACUCUGGAAUUUUCUACCUUCUCCACAGAGCUUCUUAUCUGAAAAUGGUGCUUUUGAAUCUUCUUGAUGAUCACCAAGAUAUUCCUUAGUGACCAUGAAUCUUCCAACCACCACCGUGGACAUCAAGCCCCAGAGUGAGAGGCAAAGGGCUCCAGCAAAUAAACAGUAGCUGAACACA